rnacentral:lncRNA from 1 species
GGGUUUGGGCUCCAGCCCCAGCCGGGCCCCCUCGCGCCGCUGCGGCUGCUGCGCGGUGAGGUCGUGACAAGUCACAGCUAACUUGCCCUCCGCGCCAUUCCACGCCACCAGGAAGCGCAGCCGGUGCCUCUCGGCAUCGGCGAAGAGGCCUUGCCGGACCGGCGCCCAGCCCUCCAGGCUGUCGAGCUGCUCGUCCUCCAUGGCCGUCGGCGGCAGCGGCCCUAGGACUCGGCGGGCGCGGGCCUGACCUCGUCGCACUGCCUGUCAGGGGACAGUCCCAGGCAUAACUGAAGGUGAAAGGACAGAAUCACCGUGUGUUACUGGCACAGAUGCAUCGGCUAGUGAAGAAAGAAGACAUUCAAACUAGUCCCGCUCUGUCGCCCAGUCUGGAGUGCAGCAGCGCCAUCAUAGCUCACUGCCACCUAGAAGCCGGGGUGAAGCAAUCCUCCUCCAUCAGCCUUCAGAGUAGCUGGGACUACCUGCGCGGCCCACCACAGCCGGCUAAUCUUUGUGGUUUUUCUUUUGUUUUCCGUUCUGGGUUUCCGUCGGGCGCAGUGGCUCAGGCCUGCAAUCCCAGCACUUUGGAAGGCAGAGGUGGGCGGAUCACCCGAGGUCGGAGACCAGCCUGACCAACAUGAAGAAAUCCCGUCUCUACUAAAAAAAAGAAAAAAACUACAAAAUUAGCCGGAUAUGGUGGCUCAUGCCUGUAAUCCCAGCUACUAGGGAGGCCCAGGCAGGAGAAUCACCUAAAUCCGGGAGGCCGAGGUUGCGGUGGGCAAAGAUCACACCAUUGCACUCCAGCCUGGACAACAAGGGUGAAACUCCGUCUCAAAACAGAGACCGGGUUUCACCAUGUUGCCCAGGCGGUCUGGAACUCCUAGGCUCAAGCGAUCUGCCACACUCGGCCUUCCAAAGUCCUGGGAUCACAAGGGGGAGGCACCACGCCAGGCAGAUCUAUUCCUUUCUGGUUACUAAAUUGGACCGGGGGCGCGGUGGCUCACGCCUGCAAUCCCAGCACCCAGGGAGGCGGAGGCGGGCGUAUCACUCGAGGUCAGGAGCUCGAGAUCAGCCUGACCAACACGGAGAAACCCCGUCUGUACCAAAAAAAUAAAACCAAAAUUAGCUGGCAUGGUGGCUCAUGCCUGCAAUCCCAGACACUCAGGAGGCUGAGGCAGGAGAACCACCUAAACCCGGGAGGUGGAGGCCGCGGUGAGUCGAGACCACGCCACUGCACUCCAGCCUGCAAAACGAGCGAAACUCCACUCAAAAAAAAAAAAAAAAAAGACAGUGUUUCACCACGUUGCCCAGGCCGGUCUGGAAGUCCUAGGCUCAAUCGAUCGCCGCGCUCGGCCGUCCACAGUACUGGGAUCACAAGCAUGAGCUACCACGCCAGGCCGAUCUAUUCCUUUCUGGUUACUAAAUUGGACCGGGGGCACGGUGGCUCACGCCUGCAAUCCCAGCACCCAGGGAGGCGGAGGCGGGUGGAUCACCCGAGGUCAGGAGCUUGAGAUCAGCCCGACCAACACGGAGAAACCCCGUCUGUACAAAAAAAAAACACCAAAAUUAGCUGGCAUGGUGGCUCAUGCCUGCAAUCCCAGCCACUCAGGAGGCUUAGGCAGGAGAACCACCUAACCGGGAGGUGGAGGCCGCGGUGAGUCGAGACCGGAAAACACUCUAGCCUGGAAAACGAGCGAAACUCCACUCAAAAAAAAAAAAAAAAAAAAAAAAAAAAGACCGUGUUUCACCAUGUCGUCCAGGCUGGUCUGGAACUCCUAGAACAUGUAGAUGUUACCUCAUUUGGAAAAAGCAGAUUUUCAGGGCUGAAGCAGUGCCUACUCAAUAGAACCAGUCAUCGUGCAAAGACAUGCCACCUGACUCAAAGGCAAAGCCAGAGUGCAGCUUGGAGCAAAGAAGUUUGUGUUGAAGGAGAAACUAACAACGAAAAUGGACUUGUUGACGGAAGAAAAGUAGGAAUGCAGCCUCUGGUGCUGUUUGAGUGAUCCCUCUGCCCCAGGCCUGGCUGCGCGCUGCUGUGUUCUGGAAAGGCGCAUUGUGCCCUCGCUGUGGCAGGUAAGAGUCCUGUACAGGUGCUCUGCCCACUUUACCUUUCAGGCUUCUGUAUCAGCUGUUUUUCCCUUGUAGAAUGUGCCCCUGACCUGUGCCCCUGACUUCCACCCCUUAACCCUGCCCAAUACAUCUUUACAUGUCUGACCAUCAAGACUCUUCUGGGUCAUAUUCAGUUCAUGCUGAUAUUUUCCCUUCCUCCCCUCUUUAGUCCUUACUAUUUUUGCUUUGGUCAUGUUAUGCUAUAUUCUGUAAGCCUUUAAAAAUUUUGUUGUAUCAUGGCAGGGGAGAAUAUUUUAUAAUUAUGCUUUGUGCGUUUUAUCUUCCACUCAAUGAAUGCUUGGUAAAUAUUUGUUUUAUUGAGUAUAUGACCCUUUUCUAGCUAUACCGUGAACAAAAAUGUUAACUGCCUUGUACGUUAACUGCUAAGAAUUUGUCAAAAGUGCAGAGAUGACAUCCAGAACUUGUCAGAAUAUUACAAAAAGGUCUCUAAGGGCAUGAUGGAGGUCUGUAAAUUGACUUCAUGUGAAAGAGUGUAAGAAGUGAAAAUGUGAAGCAUGACUGGAGAGCCGGAGUGAUAAAGCAAGGGUCCCUUUCUCUAGAUCCUUUGUAACAGUGUCAUGUGACCUCUUCUAGAUCAUUCUGAAAGACAAUGCCAGCUCGGAACCUAGGAAAGCAUCCAGUGGGUUUCUGCAUGUUAGGUGGUUCAAAUCCUCAUUAGCACCUUUGUUUUCUCUGCCUCAGUUUGCUUACAGUGAUGUUCUCAGUAGCUGUAAUUGCUGUCUGUCUUUGAAUAUUUAAGCAUUUUUUUUUUUUAGAUCACAGGGUAUAUGUGCAUUUUUAUUUUACCAAGUGUUAGAAUUUUUACUCUGCCUUUGUGGGCUCUGGGUUAGCUACUUGGCUGUUUCAUCGUAAAAUGAUUAGCAGGAAAAACUGUGUGUGUGUGUGUGUGUGUGUGUGUGUGUGUGUGUGUGUGUGCACGUGUGUAUUUUAAGUUUCUUAAUUGGGUUGGUACAUGUAAACCAUUUAGAACAGUGCCUGCUGCAUAUCACAUCCCCAUCAGUAUUCACGUCUCUCAUAUUCUACCCUCACACUUGAUUGAUAGUUUGCUUGAUUACGUAUUUCUAGGUUGAGGAUAAUUUUACCUUAGAAUUUCAAAGUCUGUGCUGUUGUCUUCUAACCAGUCGUGGUGGCGAAGCCUCAUGCCAUCCUGAGUUUCACUUGUUUAUGCAUGACUUUCUCCCUGGAAGCUUUUAGGAGUUUGUCUUUUCCUUGGUGAGCUGAAAUAGCACAACAGUGUACUUAGUGUGGGUCUUUUUUCAUUCAUUAUGCUGGGUACACCAAAUGAACAGGCCUAUGGAUAGGCUCUUUCAAAGUUGGAGUCUUGAAUCUUGUCAUAUUUUUGUUGUUAACUUUCUCUUUUCCAUUUUAUUUGUUCAUUUGGAAGUGUCUGUUAAUUGGAUUUGAGACCUCUUGUCUUGAGUCUUAUAUCUCACGUUAUUUCUAAAUGUUUUUUAAAUUUUCAGUUCUGGAAUAUUUUCUUAUCUUUCGACUUUCAGGAAAUUUUAUUUGGACUGUCAUAACUUUAAGUUUUGUUUUGGUUAUUUAUUGUUGCUUAACCAAUUAUCCCAAAACUUAAUGGCCUAAAACUACACAUCUGUCUAUCUGUCACGACUGUAUGGAUUACCUGGGGCUAGCUGGACAGUUUUUCUGCUGGUCUCAUUUGGCAGCUCUCACUGUGUGGUUAAACAGUGUCAGGGACUGGUCAUCUGGAUGCUCAGCUGCAGUGGAAUGUCUGAGACGGCUUCUUUACCCACAGGUCUGCUGCCUUGGUAAUUCUUGAUGUGGCCUUUCUCUCUGCAUAGCAUCUCAUCCUCUCGGAUCUCUUCAUGUGGCUUUUCUUUCUCCAAGAAGGUAGCCAAUUCUUAUUUUUGGCUUCCAGAAGCACAGAAAUGGAGCUGCCAGGAGUUCUUAAGGCUUAGACCUGGAACAGGUCCAGUGUCAUUUCUACCACAUGCUAUAGGUUAAAGUGAGUGUUGGGGCCAACCCAGAUUGACUAUGGGAUGGGCCUGUCUGAGGACAUGAUGACAGGAGGUAUGGCUCAUUGGAGACCAACUCCCAAGAUGGAGCAUGAGUUCUAAGAACUUUUUCUUCUCUGAUUAUUUCUUAUUCAUAUUGUUUUGUUUUAUACAUGUAAUAUAUUCACAAGUGUCUUUAUGAAGUGAUUUUGAUACUC